CGGUCAAGACACGGCGAGUAUCGGCACAAAAGCUGCAGCUGCUACAAAGGUUUAACAGGAUGUUCUCAAGCCAGCAGCAUCGGGUACUCAUAGACUGACACCGAGAGGAGGAGAUGCGACCAACACCGACAGUUGACAUAUUUGAGUGCCAAGUUACUGUUUUCAUUUUAACAGCUAAAGUAUUUUUCUUAAUAGUGAGUUAGUUUUCAAACCCACUGAUCAAGAUGAGUGUUACAACUGACGGGGUAGACAGUGGCUUUUUUGAAGGAGUCAUCUUCGGAUUGUGCGUCGCUGCCAUUGCAAUAUUAGUCCCCAGCUACCUCGGUCUACUCUUGAAAUGUAUUGACGAGAGACUCGGCUACAACAUUAGUCCCGAAUCUUGGAGUCGCGAGGAUAUUAUAUUGCUCUGGUUGAUUUUAAAAAGCAAGCGCCCACGGCAAAAGCUAGAAGUAAUAAAAAGAGAGGUGUUGGAAGCCACAGAUAUCCUGAGACAGAUGAAGAAACGACAUCCAGUUCUGCCGGAUGGACAAAACGCACUUGUGAGGAGCUCGCAACGAAUUCAACGCGCUAACUCAUCAACUCAAUAGCAGGAACACAGCGAGAUCCACCUGACACAUUCUGCUCGGUGUUUGACCCCCCUCACCAUACAACUGUUCAAGUCCCGGAAAUCGGAACCGUGAAAAUCUGUCAACCUAUCAUCUGUCCCUCUGUUUUCCCCCACUUCCGAUUUGCGGAUGUCACCGGAGGACUCCAGAACCACCACGCAACGCACCAAUUUAAUAACCUCCAUGACAAAUUUUUCGUUCGCUUGUUAAAAAAAAUAGAACUUGUGCUCAGCACUUCACAGUUAGUCUGAGUUGCUUUGCCAUUGUCUCGUCCGUCUUUUCAAAUCAAGUACCACGCAAUUGAUUAACAUAUUUUAAUACGUAGAAAAUGUUUGCUGGCGAGGCUCACCGGAUUAGAAGUGUCCUGUUUCAUGAAACAAUUCUAUGAUAAUAAUAAUUUCGUUUUAAGUUCUUUAGGAAGCAUGAUUUAAACGUUAAAUUAGCAUUACAUAAUGGAAAACAACUCCAACAUAAUCUAAAACCUUGAGGACCACUUGAGAGAAACCCAACUUCAGUGAAUAUCUGCGAGAAUAUCAACCCUCUGUAACGUCUUUCCGUGUUAUCACGAGGUUGGAACUUCGGAGGAUACUCAAAUUAUUCCGGAGAUUCCAAAUCUUUGAAACGUCAUCUUCAACGCACGAAGCUCAAAUUUUAGAGGAUUCCUUCCAGGGCUCGAACUCUAGCAAAUUUUGUAGCGUGACACACUCCAGAACCUUGAAUUUCUCGUGAAUUUGUUACUCUUGAGCACCCUAGAAAAUCAUUGUGUCACUUGAAGAACUUUAAAUUUCUCGUGAAUUUGUUACUCUUCAGCACCCUAGGAAAUCAUUGUGUCACUAGAAGAACUUCGAAUUUCUCGAGAAUUUGUCACUCUUGAGCACCCUAGGAAAUCAUUGUGUCACUUGAAGAACUUUGAAUUUCUCGUGAAUUUGUUACUCUUCAGCACCCUAGAAAACCAUUGUGUCACUUGAAGAACUUUGAAUUUCUCGUGAAUUUGUUACUCUUGAGCACCCUAGAAAAUCAUUGUGUCACUUGAAGAACUUUGAAUUUCUCGUGAAUUUGUUACUCUUGAGCACCCUAGAAAACCAUUGUGUCACUUGAAGAACUUUGAAUUUCUCGUGAAUUUGUUACUCUUGAGCACCCUAGAAAAUCAUUGUGUCACUAGAAGAACUUCGAAUUUCUCGAGAAUUUGUCACUCUUGAGCACCCUAGAAAAUCAUUGUGUCACUUGAAGAACAUUGAAUUUCUCGUGAAUUUGUUACUCUUGAGCACCCUAGGAAAUCAUUGUGUCACCAGAGGAACUUCGAAUUUCUCGAGACUUUGUCACUCUUCAGCACCUUUGAAGUUCAUUGUGUCACUUGGAGGCUGGAACUGGAAUCGAAACUGCGCGACUAAGAGACUCAAAAUAAAUCACCAGAAGGACAGCGGGGAAUUCUCGGACAUGAUUGUGUGAGCGCGUGGCUGAAAGUAAGCGAUCCGGACUGGAUAUCCGAUUUGACGUGCGGGGUUAGAGCGUGGCCGGUGGCUCGGGGAGAUUACUAGAGCGUAGCA
rnacentral:lncRNA from 1 species